rnacentral:rRNA from 1 species
UUGGGGUAUGUCUACCAGGCGACGACGGGUAGCCGACCUGAGAGGGUGACCGGCCACACUGGGACUGAGACACGGCCCAGACUCCUACGGGAGGCAGCAGUGGGGAAUAUUGCACAAUGGGCGAAAGCCUGAUGCAGCGACGCCGCGUGAGGGAUGACGGCCUUCGGGUUGUAAACCUCUUUCAGCAGGGACGAAGCGAGAGUGACGGUACCUGCAGAAGAAGCACCGGCUAACUACGUGCCAGAGCCGCGGCCGAGGGCCAUCAGCCGCGGCCA